rnacentral:rRNA from 1 species
GGGUUGUGAGGUUAAGCGACUAAGCGUACACGGUGGAUGCCCUGGCAGUCAGAGGCGAUGAAGGACGUGCUAAUCUGCGAUAAGCGUCGGUAAGGUGAUAUGAACCGUUAUAACCGGCGAUUUCCGAAUGGGGAAACCCAGUGUGAUUCGUCACACUAUCAUUAACUGAAUCCAUAGGUUAAUGAGGCGAACCGGGGGAACUGAAACAUCUAAGUACCCCGAGGAAAAGAAAUCAACCGAGAUUCCCCCAGUAGCGGCGAGCGAACGGGGAGGAGCCCAGAGCCUGAAUCAGUGUGUGUGUUAGUGGAAGCGUCUGGAAAGGCGCGCGAUACAGGGUGACAGCCCCGUACACAAAAAUGCACAUGCUGUGAGCUCGAUGAGUAGGGCGGGACACGUGGUAUCCUGUCUGAAUAUGGGGGGACCAUCCUCCAAGGCUAAAUACUCCUGACUGACCGAUAGUGAACCAGUACCGUGAGGGAAAGGCGAAAAGAACCCCGGCGAGGGGAGUGAAAAAGAACCUGAAACCGUGUACGUACAAGCAGUGGGAGCACGCUUAGGCGUGUGACUGCGUACCUUUUGUAUAAUGGGUCAGCGACUUAUAUUCUGUAGCAAGGUUAACCGAAUAGGGGAGCCGAAGGGAAACCGAGUCUUAACUGGGCGUUAAGUUGCAGGGUAUAGACCCGAAACCCGGUGAUCUAGCCAUGGGCAGGUUGAAGGUUGGGUAACACUAACUGGAGGACCGAACCGACUAAUGUUGAAAAAUUAGCGGAUGACUUGUGGCUGGGGGUGAAAGGCCAAUCAAACCGGGAGAUAGCUGGUUCUCCCCGAAAGCUAUUUAGGUAGCGCCUCGUGAAUUCAUCUCCGGGGGUAGAGCACUGUUUCGGCAAGGGGGUCAUCCCGACUUACCAACCCGAUGCAAACUGCGAAUACCGGAGAAUGUUAUCACGGGAGACACACGGCGGGUGCUAACGUCCGUCGUGAAGAGGGAAACAACCCAGACCGCCAGCUAAGGUCCCAAAGUCAUGGUUAAGUGGGAAACGAUGUGGGAAGGCCCAGACAGCCAGGAUGUUGGCUUAGAAGCAGCCAUCAUUUAAAGAAAGCGUAAUAGCUCACUGGUCGAGUCGGCCUGCGCGGAAGAUGUAACGGGGCUAAACCAUGCACCGAAGCUGCGGCAGCGACGCUGAUGCGUUGUUGGGUAGGGGAGCGUUCUGUAAGCCUGCGAAGGUGUGCUGUGAGGCAUGCUGGAGGUAUCAGAAGUGCGAAUGCUGACAUAAGUAACGAUAAAGCGGGUGAAAAGCCCGCUCGCCGGAAGACCAAGGGUUCCUGUCCAACGUUAAUCGGGGCAGGGUGAGUCGACCCCUAAGGCGAGGCCGAAAGGCGUAGUCGAUGGGAAACAGGUUAAUAUUCCUGUACUUGGUGUUACUGCGAAGGGGGGACGGAGAAGGCUAUGUUGGCCGGGCGACGGUUGUCCCGGUUUAAGCGUGUAGGCUGGUUUUCCAGGCAAAUCCGGAAAAUCAAGGCUGAGGCGUGAUGACGAGGCACUACGGUGCUGAAGCAACAAAUGCCCUGCUUCCAGGAAAAGCCUCUAAGCAUCAGGUAACAUCAAAUCGUACCCCAAACCGACACAGGUGGUCAGGUAGAGAAUACCAAGGCGCUUGAGAGAACUCGGGUGAAGGAACUAGGCAAAAUGGUGCCGUAACUUCGGGAGAAGGCACGCUGAUAUGUAGGUGAAG